rnacentral:misc_RNA from 1 species
AGGUAUUUGGAAGAUCAGUUAAGGUUAGUUGGAUCUAUGUAUGAAUGCGGUGAUGAAUUUGAUUGUCAAGAAGAGGAAGAUACUGCUGAUUUCAAGACUCCUCUUUUGGGGUAGUGACUACUGAACCUAAACUUUUCUUUCCCAUUUACUUUUUGAUUGUGUAACUGAAACCUGUGAUUGGGGGUUUUUGUUGAUCUACUUGGAUUUGUACUGAAAUUUUCAUUCUUUUUAAAAAUUAUUACACUUCCAUACUUUUUCUCUGAUUAGAAUUGGAAUUUUUAUUGAUGGUCUCAAUCCCAGGACUGAAUUAGUCUGAUCUGUAUUUCAAUCCCUGCAAAAUUGAUAGAUUUUUUUUUGUGAGAAGCUGAGGGACUUCUAUUUGAAACUUUGUGGAGUGUGAAACGCCAAGGCAGGCUAACAACUUCCAAUCAUAGAUUCUGGACGGUGGACAGCACAAUCCGGUUGGAUUUGGACACUGGAAUAUGCUAUGGGCUCCAUUUGUGGGCUCACAUCUUCACUUUUUUUCUGCUUUUUGCCCUUUUUCAACCACACUAUAUUAUGA